GGGGGUGUAAAGGCUUCGACGGGGACUUUGAGCCUUGGUAAGCGAGCAGCGGUGCGGAACCGCUUUAAAAGCCGCAAUUUAAAAACAAACGACAACUCUACAGUUGCAUUAGCAGCCUAAGCGCUGCUCGUCCUGCCCGAGAGGACCACGGCUCGGGUAAGGGCGUCGAUCAGUGGUGAACGCCUGCAGGCACACGCCUUUGACCUGCCGGUGUACUAAAGGCUACCGACCGCGAAAGCCCGUCGCCGGGCGCUCGCGCAAGGGAAGCUCAAAACGGCGAAUACGCUCGUAGAAAGCCUUGGUAAAGGGUUUUCGGACAGGGGUUCGAUUCCCCUCACCUCCACCA
rnacentral:tmRNA from 1 species